UAAAACGGACAAACAUACGCACAUACGUAUCAACUCGCGCUUGAUAACUUUUACACAUUUUUGAUGACAAAGACCUUUUUCCAACAUAAAAGGCGAUGCACGUUGGAACAAGUCACAAUUUUUCAAGUGGCUUCGCACCAGUCUUCAAUUUCAACGAGAAAUAAAAGAAUAUAAAAUGUCAGUCCGAUUCAGAGUUUGAGGCCCCAUCUGUGGUGUCGGUAGCACCGAAAAAGAAGUCAAAGGCGUCAAGCAGCAAACGCAAGGCCGGCCCCGAAAAGCAACGCGACUCAUCGCCUCCGCUGGAGUUGACCCGCACCUCAUCAGACAAAAGUGCUCAACGAAAGCGAAAAUACUCCUCGCCGCACGAAGUUAUAACUACACGAACAAGGAGACCGGACUUAUUCAAUAUCUUGCGGGCUGAGGAAGCUAGUUGCAGUGAACCCAAAUCUCGUGGCGGGGAAAUAAUAUCAAGCUUCUCCAGCCGAGUUUCUACGGGAACGUCUCGUCGGACUGCGAAGACCGGUGGCGAAUAUUUUGUGGACCUCAAGAUCUACAAAAAAUCGGACUACGUGUCUCACGCUGCUAAUGUGCGAUACAA